rnacentral:rRNA from 1 species
GACUAACGCUGGCGGCGUGCUUAACACAUGCAAGUUGAACGGGGCACAUCAAGUAGCAAUACGAGGUGUGCUUAGUAGCGGACGGGUGAGUAACACGUGAGCAAUCUGCCUUUGUGAGGGGGACAACAGCCGGAAACGGCUGCUAAUACCGCAUAAGACCACGAUUCCGAGUGGAGUUGGGGUAAAAGAUUUAUCGCACAAAGAUGAGCUCGCGUCCCAUUAGCUAGUUGGUGAGGUAACGGCCCACCAAGGCGACGAUGGGUAGCCGACCUGAGAGGGUGAUCGGCCACACUGGAACUGAGACACGGUCCAGACUCCUACGGGUGGCUG